GUGCUGUCGCGGGCGCCCUGGCGCAGCCCACGCAGGGGCUCCUGAGGGUCCGCGAGGCCGGGAGGGAGACAUAAGACAUCAGUCAGUACAUGUGAGGUGUGCAUUGGAUUGAUCCAGAAAGUCAGGACGACUCCAAGUGGAAAGGCCUCCAGAGACAGGAGACAGUAAAAGAAAUGGCCUCUCUCCUCUGUCAGAGUGGAGUCCCGAGCUCCCAGAAAUGCCACAUGAUGGACAAACGCUUGGGGGAAAAAAAAAAAAAAGGAGACCUCAGUCGGACACAAAAGCAGGAGCUUUAAAAGAAAAAAUAAGAGAUAAGUUGAACUUCACCAAAAAAUAAGCGUUUCUGGUCUUUGAAAGACACUUAAAAUGAAAAGGCAAGCCAUCGAUGGGGAAAAUACUCAGAAUAAUGGAUCUGACAGAGGGCUGUAUCUAGAAUAUAUGAAGAUAUUUUAAAAUCCAGUAAUUUGACAUAAAGAUGGUAGCCAGCCUGACACACAAAGGAACCCGAAUGGCCAAUGGACAGGAAGGGAACCCGUAUGGCCGAUGGACAGAAAGGGAAGUGAACGUGAACAUCUCAUUGGGGAUGCCGUUAUCACCACUGGAAUAGUCAAAAACAUGGACACCAAGUAUUGGUGGGUGAGUGGAAUGGCGGGAACCCACAUACACGGUCGAUGGGAGCUGCACCCUUUGGAAAUCAUUUCACAGUUUGUGCUCCAUCCUGGCCAAACCCACAGCUGGAGUCUUUCCAAAAACAGUGACGGGAGUUUCCACCAGGGAGUGCCUCAAACCAUCCCGAGAUGGGGCUGGUUGGGAUUCCAGGGAGAGGCACUCGUUGCCAGGGUGAUCCGUCCAGAGCACUUCCUAGGGGAUCUGGCAUAAGGAGGGCUGCAGUGUAUCCUCAGGACAGAUAGGACAGAUAGUGUAUCUUUGGGACAGACGGCAAGAUGGGGAUUCCACCCAGGUCUGUCUGCAGCGAGUUGAUAUGAGAGUUUAAGGAAUUUGGACCAGGGCUGCUUUGUUUCAGGGUUUUGGGCAAUGACCUAAACACCUUUAUCAGUGCCUGGGAAUGCUCAAGGCCCAGCUUGAGUUCAGGCCUGCAGGGAAAACCUGCAACUGGCCGGGCUGCAGAGUGGUCAGGGCACGGAAAGCCAGAAGCUGGGGACACACCUGCUGUAUGAUCCAGCCGUUCGUCUUUACCUGGGAGAAAUGGCACCACCUGGCUGAACAUAACUUCUUACACUCCCAUGAGUCCUCCUGGACAGGUGCUGUGACCUCGUGCAGCCUUGGGGACCCUGACACUCCCACGGACAGGCCAAGGGGUUUGCCUGGGCCCUGUGGGCACAGAGCCCCUUGAGAUGGGUUUCCCUAUGCAGCCCCCCACCCCCCACCGGGGACCCAUG
rnacentral:lncRNA from 10 species